rnacentral:rRNA from 1 species
AACGAACGCUGGCGGCGUGGAUAAGACAUGCAAGUCGAACGGGAUUUUUUUCUGUAGCAAUACAGAAAAAAGUCUAGUGGCGAACGGGUGCGUAACACGUGAGCAACCUGCCGUGAAGUGGGGGAUAGCUCGCCGAAAGGCGAAUUAAUACCGCAUGUGGCCAAGGAAGACAUCUUCCUGACGCCAAAGCCGGGGCAACCUGGCGCUUCUCGAGGGGCUCGCGGCCUAUCCGCUUGUUGGUGAGGUAACGGCUCACCAAGGCUAUGACGGGUAGCUGGUCUGAGAGGACGGCCAGCCACACUGGAACUGAGACACGGUCCAGACACCUACGGGUGGCAGCAGUCGAGAAUUUUUCACAAUGGGGGAAACCCUGAUGGAGCGACGCCGCGUGGAGAAUGAAGGUUUUCGGAUUGUAAACUCCUGUCAUUAGAGAACAAGGCACACAGUUUAACUGGCCGUGUGUUGAUAGUAUCUGAAGAGGAAGAGACGGCUAACUCUGUGCCAGCAGCCGCCGUAA